AGAACUCACUAUGUGUGCAUAACCUUUAAUGUAAAGAAGAGGCUACAAUUUAUAAACUACAAAUUAACUACAAACUAAUAGUUUGCAAAUUAUUUUAAACUAUUUUAUUACUUUAUCAUUAUUAUAAAGUGCUGCCGACUUUAUAAGUCAAUAUGCUUAAUAUGUGCUAACACUUCAUUUCGAUGGUCCCUGAAACACACAGUUCUGACUAGAAGUAACCCUAAGCUAGAAGCUAUGUGUUGAAAUGUAGUUGCAAAUUAAUUAAGAGUUAAUAGACAUAGUGUAACCCAAAAACCUUUAUCUCUCCAAUCCGUUUAAAAAAAGUGAGUGUGCUAGACUGACACGGGGCUGUUUAUUAUUGCUAAUAUCCAACACGGCCCACGUUCACCAUAAACACGCGUGCACCUGUUGGUCGCGGGUGUCUUUGAAUGCUCCGCAAAUGCAAACCAGACCUCGGUGGGGGCUCACCAAAACAACGUGCGGUGGGAACCUUACGCUUGUGGCUAAACGGGCGGCGUUCACCUCUGUCAGGCUGGAGGGUCGGGGUUAGGGCGAGGGUGACGGGGCGGGGUGCCGGUGGGGAUUUGGGGUGUAGAGAACUUCUCAGCCGGGCAAGAGUUCAACCCCAUCACGGCAGGCCAAUCUGUUCCAGACAAGCUAAAUGACACAUUAUUGGAUCCAGACCUGACAUGGGCGCUGUGUAUAUUACAUUACCAGACAGCAAGCCCACUUCAGCUCAUUACCUCCGCCCACAGGGAGGAGAGCGCAACAGACACAUCCAGAGAGAGAAAGAAAGCCUCUCUUUUUGCCUCUCUGCCGGGAAACUGUCAGAUAUUCCCGAGGCAGGUCUCUCGUGAAGCGAUUUCUCAGAACACCCAAGACGUUCCUGGCCCGGAGAGAUUUCUUCAUAAAGAUAUUAGAAACACAAGACGGGAUCCCUGUCCUCCUCUUCCUCGUCCCUCCCUCCCUGUGAAGAUGAAAAGAAGGGGACGGGUUGACCAGGGCAUGGCAUCGAGUUCUGUCAGUGACCUGCCAGCAGCAUGUAGGAGGAUCUCUUUAAGUGAGUACGGUUCACCUCCUCACCCUCUGCUAGACAGGGCGACUGUGAGAACUUCACCAAUGCAACAAUUUAGCCGCCUCUUUUUUCGGCACCACAUUAUUAUCGUUCAGGAUAGACAGUUAACCAAGAUGUGGGGCCACUGUGUGGCCAUUAAGACACCCACUGAGAAAACACACACACACACGCACGCACGCACGCACGCACGCACACACACACACACACACACACACACACAUUUUGACCAAAACACUCCACACUUUUCCCACAAGACCUUAAAGAGUUACUUGUACUGAUCUUAAAUAAAAUGCUUUAUUAUUAUUAUUAUUAUUAUUAU
ensembl:lncRNA